AAGCCAAGAAAUUGGAUCUCUUCCUAUGUUCAGAUUGUUCCUCAACAGAUGAUGCCAAUAGGUCUCCAAAUGGCUAUCCUGUUUCCCUAGUGUCGGGACCUAAGGAGGAGGAAUAUCAGUGCUGAUGUAUCUUUGAAAAGUUUCCUAUUUAUAGGUUGAAACUAAGAGAAGGAAGAGGUAAUCAGCCUUGUAGGCUGCAGUCCGUGUGUGGCUCGCUAGCUACUUAUCCUUUGUUGGUAAUAUGGAAUUGGUGUACAGUGCAGAGACGAGACUGCUUUUAGAGAGAGAAAAACGAAAGAAAAGGAAGUUAACUUUUUAAAGCUUUGGAUUGUUUAUUCAGUUAAGUAUCAUUCUGAGUCUUUGAGCUUAA